UGGGUUUUCAAAAUCAAGACCCUAACUUGACCCAUCAUAGGUUUUUUUUAAAAAAAUCCGAUCCUUCUCGGCGGCUAGGGGUGGGUAUCUACUAACAUCUCUAAUCGUGAGACCUCCUGAUCGGAGCAGACAAUACUUCACAUAUUGGGUUAAGCAAUACCUUAUGUGCUAGAUUGAGCAGGGCUCCUCCUGCCUAUAC
rnacentral:lncRNA from 1 species